GCCCGCAUGGCUCAGUGGUAGAGCGCAUCACUAGUACCAUCAAUACAUUAACAAAAAUGAUGAGGUCGUCAGUUCGAUUCUGGCUGUGGGCA